UACGGGGGGCGCAAGCGUUGUUCGGAUUUACUGGGCGUAAAGGGCGCGUAGGCGGUCGUGACAGGUCACUUGUGAAAUCUCCGGGCUUAACUCGGAACGGGCAAGUGAUACUGUCGGACUAGAGUACAGAAGGGGCAACUGGAAUUCUCGGUGUAGCGGUGAAAUGCGUAGAUAUCGAGAGGAACACCUGCGGCGAAGGCGGGUUGCUGGGCUGAUACUGACGCUGAGGCGCGAAAGCCAGGGGAGCGAACGGG
rnacentral:rRNA from 1 species